CCGCCACCGCCGCCGCCGCCAGCCGUCCGCCGCCCGCCGCCUCGGGGUUCCAAAGUUUUGGCGACAGCUUCUGUGCGGUGUGCGGCGUUCGGAGUGCGGCGUGCGGUGCGCGGGACUGUCUGCGAGCCUAGACGUGGAGGUAGCACCUACAAUAAAGACGUGACGUACUGUUUGCAAACAUGCCAAGCUUUAAGCGCCUCGGGCAUGCUAACAGCAGCGCGGUCUUAUGAUUUUGAGGCCAUUGUAAGUGGUAUG